ACGCUGGCGGCGUGCUUAACACAUGCAAGUCGAACGAGGGAAUUGAAAGCUUGCUUUUGAAACCCGAGUGGCAAACGGGUGAGUAACGCGUAGGCAACCUGCCGUUGAGAUGGGGACAACAUCCCGAAAGGGGUGCUAAUACCGUAUGAGGUCACACGAUGGCAUCAGACUGUGACGAAAGGUUUGGCGGACAGGGAUGGGGAUGCGUCCGAUUAGGUAGUCGGCGGGGUAACGGCCCACCGAGCCGACGAUCGGUAGGGGUUCUGAGAGGAAGGUCCCCCACAUUGGAACUGAGACACGGUCCAAACUCCUACGGGAGGCAGCAGUGAGGAAUAUUGGUCAAUGGGCGAGAGCCUGAACCAGCCAAGUAGCGUGCAGGAUGACGGCCCUAUGGGUUGUAAACUGCUUUUAUAAGGGAAUAAAGUGAGCCUCGUGAGGCUUUUUGCAUGUACCUUAUGAAUAAGGACCGGCUAAUUCCGUG
rnacentral:rRNA from 1 species